GACGAAGGUGGCAACCGUUGCUCGGAAUCACUGGGCAUAAAGCGCACGUAGGUGGCUAAGUAAGUCGGUGGUGAAAUACCUUGGCUCAACCAAGGAAGUGCCAUCGAUACUGCCAUGCUUGAGGACGGGAGGGUGAGUGGAACUCUUGGUGUAGCGGUGAAAUGCGUAGAUAUCAAGAGGAACGCCGGUGGCGAAAGCGACUCACUGGACCGAUCCUGACACUGAGGUGCGAAAGCUAGGGAGCAAACAGG
rnacentral:rRNA from 1 species